CCUGAUCAGCCAUGCCGCGUGUGUGAAGAAGGCCUUCGGGUUGUAAAGCACUUUCAGCGAGGAAGAAAGCUUCUGGAUUAAUACUCUGGAGGAAGGACAUCACUCGCAGAAGAAGCACCGGCUAACUCCGUGCCAGCAGCCGCGGUAAUACGGAGGGUGCAAGCGUUAAUCGGAAUUACUGGGCGUAAAGCGCGCGUAGGUGGCUAAGUCAGCCAGGUGUGAAAGCCCCGGGCUCAACCUGGGAACGGCAUCUGGAACUGCUUGGCUAGAGUACAGUAGAGGAAGGUAGAAUUCCCGGUGUAGCGGUGAAAUGCGUAGAGAUCGGGAGGAAUACCAGUGGCGAAGGCGGCCUUCUGGACUGAUACUGACACUGAGGUGCGAAAGCGUGGGUAGCAAACAGGAUUAG
rnacentral:rRNA from 1 species